UACGUAGGGUGCGAGCGUUAAUCGGAAUUACUGGGCGUAAAGCGUGCGUAGGCGGUUCUCCAAGUCCGUUGUGAAAGCCCCGAGCUCAACUCCGGAACUGCCAUUGAAACUGUAAGACUUGAGGAUGAGAGAGGUGAGUGGAAUUCCCAGUGUAGAGGUGAAAUUCGUAGAUAUUGGGAAGAACACCGGUGGCGAAGGCGGCUCACUGGCUCAUAUCUGACGCUCAGGCGCGACAGCGUGGGGAUCAAACAGG
rnacentral:rRNA from 1 species